UGCCAGGUCCGAUGCAAUUACUACUUGCGAACCAGGUCAGAUACGGAAGUAAGCAGCCUUAAGCUGUGUGUGUAAUGUGACAUCGGCAACCUGGUAUUU
rnacentral:SRP_RNA from 1 species